UGACACUGCAUUUCCACCUAGGUGACGGAGCUGGACUCCAUCUCAAAACAAACAAACAAACAACAACAAAAAAAAAAACAAAUGAGACCAUGGGCUUGGAAAUGCCUUGAAAAAAUGUCAAGUGUGAUUCAGAGUGAGGAAGUAUUACUGUGGAAUAGUUACUGUAGCUAUUGUUACCGGUCGGCCAACUGCUCCUCUGCCUGCUAUAUCCUGACUUAACCUUGGUCUGUAUUUGCCGUACAACAAGGAGUUAACCAAAGAGAGAGACGCCCUCAGGCUGGAGUUAUACAAGAACAGUUCAUUCCUUUCUCUACUGCUUCUGGCCAUAACCGAAGCAAUGAGGACCUGAAGCAGGAGAAAUCAGAAUUGGAAGAGAAGCUUCAAGUCCUGGUGACUGAGAAGGCUGGCAUGCAGCUUAUUUUAGAAGAGCCGCAAAAGAAAUUACAAAUGAUGGCACUCCUGCUUCAACAGGCUAGGGGUUUUCAAGGCACUGUGAAGCCCCUGAUGCGAAACAGCAGUUACCGCAGGCCAUGGAGGAGCGGGCACAGCUGAAAGCACAUCUAGGGCAGGUAAUGGAGUCAGUUAGAUAACUACAAACGGAGAGAGAUACGUAUGCUGAAAAUCUGAAAGGAGGGAGGGCCAUGUGGUGUCAGAGGAAGCAACAGAUGUCGGAGCAGGUGUGCACAUUGAGAGAGGAGAAGGAGGAUAGCAUGAGUUGGGUAUAAGAACAGUAGAUGAGCUUGGCUGAAGGCCCUCCAAGGUGGAGCAGCAGCUACAAGCAGAGGCUGACCACCUGCAGAAGGAGCUGGAGAGUCUGGCAGCUCCGAGCCCAGGAGCAAGACACUGAGGGCUUCAGUCACCCGAACCAGGAGUAGGAGGAGAGGCUGCUGGAGCUGGAGCAGGUGGCCGAGCUCUUGCGGGAGCAGGCAGAGUCACGCAGGCAAAUCCUGGAGACCAUGCAGAACAAAUGCACCACCAUCAGCCACGUGCUCACCCAGAACCACAAGCUCAAAGAGCAGCUGUCUCCGCUGCAGAACGGAUUCAUAAAGCUGGUGCGUGACCCCAUCUGGAAAGCCUGCUCUCCUCCCUAGCACUCCCGGCCUUUGUUUUCCCACCCAUAAAAUGAGGCAGUGUACCCCUAAUGUGAGAUGGUAAUUCUG
rnacentral:lncRNA from 10 species